UGCUCCUACGGGACGCAGCAGUGAGGAAUAUUGGUCAAUGGGCGGGAGCCUGAACCAGCCAAGUCGCGUGAGGGAAGACGGUCCUAUGGAUUGUAAACCUCUUUAGGCGGGGAGCAAUGCCGGGCACGCGUGCCCGGAGGGAGAGUACCCGCAGAAUAAGCAUCGGCUAACUCCGUGCCAGCAGCCGCGGUAAUACGUAGGGGGCAAGCGUUAUCCGGAUUUACUGGGUGUAAAGGGAGCGCAGGCGGCAGCGCAAGUCUGAUGUGAAAGCCCGGGGCCCAACCGCGGGACUGCAUUGGAAACUG
rnacentral:rRNA from 1 species